GCUCUGAAGUACAUGGACUACAUCUUCACAGGUGUCUUCACCUUUGAGAUGGUGAUAAAGAUGAUUGACUUGGGACUGCUCCUUCACCCUGGAGCCUACUUCCGGGACCUGUGGAACAUUCUGGACUUCAUUGUGGUCAGUGGGGCCCUGGUGGUGUUUGCCUUCUCAGGAUCCAAAGGGAAAGACAUCAACACCAUCAAGUCCCUAAGAGUUCUGC